GGGAUUGUAGCUCAGUGGUAGAGCAACUGCCUAGUAUGCAUGAGACCCUGGGUUGGAUCCUCAGCACCA
rnacentral:tRNA from 1 species